CCGGGUUGCGGACAGUGUCUGGUGGGUAGUUUGACUGGGGCGGUCUCCUCCUAAAGAGUAACGGAGGAGCACGAAGGUUGGCUAAUCCUGGUCGGACAUCAGGAGGUUAGUGCAAUGGCAUAAGCCAGCUUGACUGCGAGCGUGACGGCGCGAGCAGGUGCGAAAGCAGGUCAUAGUGAUCCGGUGGUUCUGAAUGGAAGGGCCAUCGCUCAACGGAUAAAAGGUACUCCGGGGAUAACAGGCUGAUACCGCCCAAGAGUUCAUAUCGACGGCGGUGUUUGGCACCUCGAUGUCGGCUCAUCACAUCCUGGGGCUGAAGUAGGUCCCAAGGGUAUGGCUGUUCGCCAUUUAAAGUGGUACGCGAGCUGGGUUUAGAACGUCGUGAGACAGUUCGGUCCCUAUCUGCCGUGGGCGCUGGAGAACUGAGGGGGGCUGCUCCUAGUACGAGAGGACCGGAGUGGACGCAUCACUGGUGUUCGGGUUGUCAUGCCAAUGGCACUGCCCGGUAGCUAAAUGCGGAAGAGAUAAGUGCUGAAAGCAUCUAAGCACGAAACUUGCCCCGAGAUGAGUUCUCCCUGAGACUUUAGGUCUCCUGAAGGAACGUUGAAGACGACGACGUUGAUAGGCCGGGUGUGUAAGCGCAGCGAUGCGUUGAGCUAACCGGUACUAAUGAACCGUGAGGCUUAACCUUACA
rnacentral:rRNA from 1 species